rnacentral:rRNA from 1 species
AGGGCACCACCAGGAGUGGAGCCUGCGGCUUAAUUUGACUCAACACGGGAAAACUCACCCGGCCCGGACACUGGAAGGAUUGACAGAUUGAGAGCUCUUUCUUGAUUCAGUGGGUGGGGGUGCAUGGCCGUUCUUAGUUGGUGGAGUGAUUUGUCUGGUUAAUUCCGAUAACGAACGAGACUCUAGCCUACUAAAUAGAUCGUCGGCUUACAAACGCCGGCGAGACUUCUUAGAGGGACAGGCGGUGAUUCAACCGCACGAAACAAAGCAAUAACAGGUCUGUGAUGCCCUUAGAUGUCCGGGGCCGCACGCGCGCUACACUGAAGUGAUCAGCGUGCUUUUUCAACCUACUCUGUCAAGAGUGGGGAACCCAAUGAACCUUCUUCGUGAUUGGGAUAGGGGAUUGUAAUUGUUCCCCUUGAACGAGGAAUUCCCAGUAAGCGCGAGUCAUAAGCUCGCGUUGAUUACGUCCCUGCCCUUUGUACACACCGCCCGUCGCUACUACCGAUUGAAUGUUUU